rnacentral:rRNA from 1 species
GAUGAACGCUGGCGGCGUGCCUAACACAUGCAAGUCGAACGGACAUUUUUUGGAAAGCUCUUCGGAACUGGAAUCUAAAUGUUAGUGGCGGACGGGUGAGUAACGCGUGAGCAAUCUGCCUUUCAGAGGGGGAUAACAGCCGGAAACGGCUGCUAAUACCGCAUAAUGCAUUGGAUUCGCAUGUUUCUGAUGCCAAAGAUUUUAUCGCUGAAAGAUGAGCUCGCGUCUGAUUAGCUAGUUGGCGGGGUAACGGCCCACCAAGGCGACGAUGCAUAGCCGAGUUGAGAGACUGAUCGGCCACAUUGGGACUGAGACACGGCCCAA